rnacentral:rRNA from 2 species
GAUUAACGCUGGCGGCGUGCAUAACACAUUCAAGUCGAACGGACUUUAGCCUUCGGGCUAAAGUUAGUGGCGGACGGGUGAGUAACGCGUGAGCAACCUACCUUCUGAUGGGGGAUAACGUCUGGAAACGGACGCUAAUACCGCAUAAACCGAUGUUAUCGCAUGGUGAUAUCGGCAAAGAGAUAUCGUCAGGAGAUGGGCUCGCGUUGGAUUAGAUAGUUGGCGGGGUAACGGCCCACCAAGUCAACGAUCCAUAGCCGGACUGAGAGGUCGGACGGCCACAUUGGAACUGAGAUACGGUCCAGACUCCUACGGGAGGCAGCAGUGGGGAAUAUUGGGCAAUGGGCGAAAGCCUGACCCAGCGACGCCGCGUGAAGGAAGAAGGUCUUCGGAUUGUAAACUUCAGUAGGCAGGGACGAAGAAAGUGACGGUACCUGCAGAGUAAGCCACGGCUAACUACGUG